AAAGCAAUUAGGGUUUUUAACAUAUGCUACUUAUGUUUAACAGUAAUAGCUAUACUCAAGUAGAAACACAAGUUUUACAAGCUUCCAAGUUGGAGAUCGGAGAUGGGAGAAAUUCAAACCAAGAAACGGGAGAUAAAACUUAUGUCUUCUGCCUGAUGUGCUGCACAAGGAUUUCGAGAAGAGGAUUUGAUGCACAAACAGAACCAAAACUUUAAGUAAUGGCUAUACUCAAGUAGAAACACAAGUUUUACAAGCUUUCGAGUUGGAGAUCGGAGAGGGGAGAACUUCAAACCAAG